rnacentral:rRNA from 1 species
UACGUAGGGUGCAAGCGUUAAUCGGAAUUACUGGGCGUAAAGCGUGCGCAGGCGGCUUUGCAAGACAGAUGUGAAAUCCCCGGGCUCAACCUGGGAAUGGCAUUCGGGACUGCAAGGCUGGAGUGCGGCAGAGGAGACUGGAAUUCCUGGUGUAGCAGUGAAAUGCGCAGAUAUCAGGAGGAAUACCGAUGGCGAAGGCAGGUCUCUGGGCUGACACUGACGCUCAUGCACGAAAGCGUGGGGAGCAAACAGG